rnacentral:lncRNA from 1 species
GGUAAGUGAUUGUCUAAUUGUAUGGCUAGCAAUGUAAUUUAUUCAGACUGUAUUUUUGUACAGAGCAGCGCACACUAACCUAUGCCUCUGUGUCCUCCUUAAUGCCUAAAACUGUGCCUAGAAAUUUCAUCUGUCUUAAAGAAAAUAAAAUAUAUUCCAUGCUGUUUUAUGAUAAUAGUUUCUUUCCUGCUAUUCUGUAUUUAUUAUUUUUAAAUAUCUGACAUGUUUACUACUUAAAUAUGAGUUUAUGUUAUCCUGUUCUUUUCUUUUCUUUUCUCUUCUUUUCUUUUCUUUUCACUUAGAAGUCAUCUGGGGAAAUCUGUUUGUCACUCCAGUGAUGCUUGAGUGUGCAGUCCCAUUAUCUGUUCUUCAUUUAAUGAUUUUUGUAGUUGACCUAACGUUAUCUAUGUGGAAAAAAAAUUAAAAAAAAAAGUGGUUUCACUAACAAUGCUCUUACUUUGUGUCUUCUUUUUUGUGUAAACCUACUAGAGAAAAAUUUCUAGAUUGCAUAUCAUCAGUUCAUUUUCUAUAUUAAAAUAUAUUUAAAAACUGCAUAGUGCAAAAUGUGUAUAGUUUUAUUUUCAAAUCAUUAGUAUUUAUUGCAUAAAGCAAAGGAUUUCAUAGUGACAUCUUUGUUCAACUACAGCACUUUGACUCUAUUGUCAUGCUUUUUUUUUCUUAGUUCUUCCUUCCUCUUCCCAAAUCACCAUUUUUUUCUUUUAAUUUUAUAGUGUGUGUGUGUUGUGUGUGUGUGUGUGUUUAUUUUUGCUAUGCUAUCCAUUGAUCCUACAUAAGGUAGGCAAGCACUCUACUACCAACUUACACCCUCUGUCCCAAAAAAAUACAGUUUAAAUUUUUCUUACUUGGGGUGGGAACAUCCUCUUGGAGACAUGGUAGGAGGAAUGGGAUGAGGAACUGUCAGAGGGCAGACCAGGACAAGGAUAACAACUGGACUGGAAAAAAAAAGAUUAAAUAAUAAUAAUAAUAAUUAAAUUUUUUUUAUAUUUUCAUCUAUGAUCAUUCUUGUCCUCUGCAAAUGAGUGAAAUGUAGAGUCUGAUAACAUCAGGAAAUAUUGUCUUCUUGUUUUGAAGGUCUGUUAAAAUGUACAUCCAGGAGAUGCAAUGCAUUAUACCUUUUCCUACCCUAUGGAGAUAUCCUUUUGUGUAAAUUUCAGUGUUUGCACAUUGUAUUAAAGCAGGCUUAUUUUGUGCUCUGUAUUAAAGAAUUGCUCCCUAUAUGCAGUGGGGACAUGGAAAUAUACUCACACAUACUUUUAUGGAAAAAAGUCAUAAAAUUAUAAAAGAAAUUGACCACUAGCUUUUUGUGUUUUUAAAUAGUAUAUGUUGAAAGCAAUUUCAAUUAGACAUUCAGCAGAAUUCACUUAAAUGUUUACCAGAAAAUUUGUCUGAAGAUAUAAGUACAGCCAUUCAAUUGAGCAAGCUUUUUUCAAGACACAAGUUUGAAUAUGAAUGUGUUUGUCACAAAGAUGUUUUUGUCAAAUUGUAUGAAUCUUCAAAUUUGAGGGUUUUAAAGUUUUUCUGCUAAGAAAACUAAUGUAUUAUGCUCACCUUUUUCUUAGUCUUUCAGAAACCUGGUAUCACCCACUUACUGCAUUAUAUUUUCAAUAUAAAUGCUUACUGAUUUCAUUGAAUUUCACAUGAGAAAAAUCCCUUUAUAAACAUAUUUUGCUUUGUAAU